AACCGGUAAGGAAUAAGGAUCGGCUAACUCCGUGCCAGCAGCCGCGGUAAUACGGAGGAUCCAAGCGUUAUCCGGAUUUAUUGGGUUUAAAGGGUGCGUAGGCGGCUUAUUAAGUCAGGGGUGAAAGACGGUGGCUCAACCAUCGCAGUGCCCUUGAUACUGAUGAGCUUGAAUACACUAGAGGUAGGCGGAAUGUGACAAGUAGCGGUGAAAUGCAUAGAUAUGUCACAGAACACCGAUUGCGAAGGCAGCUUACUAUGGUGUUAUUGACGCUGAGGCACGAAAGCGUGGGGAUCAAACAGGAUUAGAUACCCUGGUAG
rnacentral:rRNA from 1 species